UUUGGCCUUCGUCUCACUGAGCAUCUUUUCCCAUCGCUGACCAAUCGUCAACUUUUCGACUUUUACCUCCACUGUAAAGAACUAUUGGUGACAAAACAUUUCGGGAUAUAAUCUCAGAGCUACGGCACAUCCUGCUACCUUGAUCUAUCGAAGACGCCAGUGCAGGGACAACUCGGCUCAAUACUAAUUAAAAUAAAUGAACAUUUACGUCGUCACAGCAUGUGGAUGUGAGGGCGAGAGGCCAGGAGUCCGGGCGAAAGAUUAGGUGACGAGCCCGGGCCAACGGAGACAUCAUUAAAAUGCAUGGUUCAAACGAUUCCUCUUUUCGAUCGCCAUUCCCGAAAAACCCACAUCAGAUGGCAUGAAAAGCGCAGACAACGCAUUUGUUGGUAAUCAGCAGAGCAUGACAUUUGCAGCUAGCGAAAUCCUUAGCAAUGCCAUACAUCAAUUCAUGGCAUACUUGAAAUGCAAAUGUCUUGGCAGUAAACUCUGAUCAAUGCCCGCGCGGAUAUGCGUGCGAACCAAUAAAUCAAGUCAAAGCCAGAGAGGCGAGCCAGCCCCCAGUUGCCAUUCAAGGAUGAAGUCAAGAUAGCAACCACACACACUCACACACGCGAGAAGCACUCACAAGGACUCAAACCCAAACACACACAUACACACACACACACUCCCAUAUGCGACAAGUUGGCGGCCACAAUCUUGGAUUUAUACGGCUUCGAGUGGCUUCGGUGGCUAAGAGGAAAAUAGGUAGGUGGCAGGAGGCGGGGCACUCAAGUUGCCUUUGGUCUAUUUAAAAAUUAAAAUUGUGUAAAUUUUUAAUGCCAACCAACGCGAGUUAUUAGCCCAGCUUGAUAGCUAGCCGAGCACCACCUGAAUAUCCUGCUAAUCGACUGCCAACCGCGAUGAUUACAAAAAUUUCCACUUGGCCGCGUAUUUUCCUGAUUAAUUCUGGGCCGAUAUAAAAUGCGUACCAUGAAUAUUUCAUACCACUAAGCGCCAGCAGAGGAAUAAAAAAAAGUGGUUAAGCAAAGGGCAUAGCAAAUAAAACGAAGCUUACUUUAUACAAUUGGCAACCGCAAACAAAGUGAAUUUCGUUUUUGUUUGCGGCCACAGACGUGUCAGUUUGGACACAUGAAUGAUGAAUUAUAUUCGGUGGUCAAUUUGGGAUCCAUAUUUCACAGCGCGCCAAUAAAAUAUACCCCCAACAAUCCCGAUGGCCUCGACCGGAGGCACACAACAUUUUUGGAACCGCCGAGAAGUUUACAAAGCCGAUCAAAACUUUCUGAAGUGUCCCGAAGCCCUUUUUCAUUAACCGAUCGUUCGAACCUACU